rnacentral:rRNA from 1 species
UACGGGGGGAGCAAGCGUUGUUCGGAAUUACUGGGCGUAAAGCGUGCGCAGGCGGUUUUGUAAGUCUGAUGUGAAAUCCCCGGGCUCAACCUGGGAAUUGCAUUGGAGACUGCAAGGCUAGAAUCUGGCAGAGGGGGGUAGAAUUCCACGUGUAGCAGUGAAAUGCGUAGAGAUGUGGAGGAACACCGAUGGCGAAGGCAGCCUCCUGGGCCAGCACUGACGCUCAUGCACGAAAGCGUGGGGAGCAAACAGG